rnacentral:rRNA from 1 species
UACGGGGGGGGCAAGCGUUGUUCGGAAUUACUGGGCGUAAAGGGCUCGUAGGCGGCCAACUAAGUCAGACGUGAAAUCCCCAGGCUCAACCUGGGAACUGCGUCUGAUACUGGAUGGCUUGAAUCCGGGAGAGGGAUGCAGAAUUCCAGGUGUAGCGGUGAAAUGCGUAGAUAUCUGGAGGAACACCGGUGGCGAAGGCGGCAUCCUGGACCGGCAUUGACGCUGAGGCGCGAAAGCGUGGGGAGCGAACAGG